rnacentral:lncRNA from 1 species
CAAUUGGGAUUUGUUAAUUUGGCUCCUUGAGAUCAUCCUGAGUUUUCUAGAAGCAGAUCAAGAGCAGAAUCCUGAAGAACUUCACUAUUUAAAAAGCAGAAGGAGAAAAAUCAACUAGCAGAGAAUUCAGAGGCUCAAAAGAUAGUCAAGGACAGGAGAACUGAAAGGCCACACAGGAGCAUGAAGCAGAAAGCCCCUGGGCACAGCUCUGUGGGAACUUGCGUCUGAAUAAAAGUACUGCACAAGGGGAGGCACCCCAGGAAGAAGGAACCCUGAAAGGCAUCGAGGCCCAGGAAAGAAGCCAAAUGGGGGAAGAAAAAAAAAAGUGACUGAGAAUUGGGAAACUUGUCCAAGCUUUGUGUUCCCAGGAAUACUGGGGGCAAGGCAGUUCCUUCAUUUGUUUGGUUAUCUAAGAUCUAUGGAGAUCCUAGGUUAGAAGAAAAGGAAG